rnacentral:rRNA from 1 species
GUGAGUAACGCGUGAGAAUCUAGCUUCAGGUCGGGGACAACAGUUGGAAACGGCUGCUAAUACCGGAUGUGCCGAAAGGUAAAAGGCUUGCUGCCUGAAGAUGAGCUCGCGUCUGAUUAGCUAGUAGGUGUGGUAAGAGCGCACCUAGGCGACGAUCAGUAGCUGGUCUGAGAGGACGAUCAGCCACACUGGGACUGAGACACGGCCCAGACUCCUACGGGAGGCAGCAGUGGGGAAUUUUCCGCAAUGGGCGAAAGCCUGACGGAGCAAUACCGCGUGAGGGAGGAAGGCUCUUGGGUUGUAAACCUCUUUUCUCAAGGAAGAAUACAAUGACGGUACUUGAGGAAUAAGCAUCGGCUAACUCCGUGCCAGCAGCCGCGGUAAUACGGAGGAUGCAAGCGUUAUCCGGAAUGAUUGGGCGUAAAGCGUCCGCAGGUGGCAAUGAAAGUCUGCUGUUAAAGAGUGAGGCUCAACCUCAUAAAAGCGGUGGAAACUACAUAGCUAGAGUACGUUCGGGGCAGAGGGAAUUCCUGGUGUAGCGGUGAAAUGCGUAGAGAUCAGGAAGAACACCGGUGGCGAAAGCGCUCUGCUAGGCCUGUACUGACACUGAGGGACGAAAGCUAGGGGAGCGAAUGGGAUUAGAUACCCCAGUAGUCCUAGCCGUAAACGAUGGAUACUAGGCGUGGCUUGUAUCGACCCGAGCCGUGCCGGAGCUAACGCGUUAAGUAUCCCGCCUGGGGAGUACGCACGCAAGUGUGAAACUCAAAGGAAUUGACGGGGGCCC